AGGAGUCAGGUACAGUGGGCUCAUGCUGAUAGUCCCAACCACACAGGAGGCUGAGGCAGGAGGAUCACUUGAGCCCAGGAGUAUGAGAGUUUGAGACCAACCUGG